UACGAGGGGGGCAAGCGUUGUUCGGAAUUAUUGGGCGUAAAGAGCUCGUAGGCGGUUUGUCGCGUCGGCCGUGAAAACUUGGGGCUUAACCCCAAGCCUGCGGUCGAUACGGGCAGACUUGAGUUCGGCAGGGGAGACUGGAAUUCCUGGUGUAGCGGUGAAAUGCGCAGAUAUCAGGAGGAACACCGGUGGCGAAGGCGCCACUCUGGGCCGAAACUGACGCUGAGGAGCGAAAGCGUGGGUAGCAAACAGG
rnacentral:rRNA from 1 species